UGAGAAAAUUUAUUACAGUGUUGUGAAGAAUGGACUUACAAAAUUUAAUCUUCUGUGUCCGAAGACUCUGCUCCAUUUUCAUUUGUUAUCUGAUGUGCUGUUCUGAACAAACCACACACUGCAGCUGUCGGGAAUACACUGACAAUGCGCAUGCGGGGAGAAUUCUGCGUUCCUGGCUCACAGUGCGGGAGAAGACAAAUGUGCUUCCGUGUGCCACUGGGUCCUCCUUGGCCAACUAAUUUUGGGGAAGAGUAAGACUGCACACUUAGUCUAUCUGUUUGUACCUGAUGUGGACCAGCCUUGAUUUUACGUCAGGCCCUUUCCUUGUGAAUAACUUGAUGAGGGUCAUAACACCUGACUGAAGUUGGAUCUCUCUGGGUCAAAUUCUACUCCAUCCAGGUCCACCUGUCUGCUCCUGCGUGCUCAGCAAGGAGGAGGGUAAUAGGAAAGGUACAUCAAAUUGUCCACUAGAAACAGAUUGAAGGACAAGCAUCUCCCAACGUCACCUUCAGACCAUGAUUUCUAUAUUAUUUUUAUUUUUUUUAAGAGA